rnacentral:rRNA from 1 species
UACGUAGGGUGCGAGCGUUGCCCGGAUUUAUUGGGCGUAAAGGGCGCGCAGGCGGCUACGCACGUCCGUUGUGAAAUCGCUCGGCUCAACUGGGCGGGGUCAGCGGAUACGGCGUAGCUGGAGCAAGCUAGGGGGCAAUGGAAUUCCUGGUGUAGCGGUGAAAUGCGCAGAUAUCAGGAGGAACACCGGUGGCGAAGGCGGGUCUCUGGGCAGUAACUGACGCUGAGGAGCGAAAGCGUGGGGAGCGAACAGG